AUCAUGAGAAGAAAGCUUUCGUUCCUUGAAUCACUAGGCAUGUCAGUCAUGAUAAACAACUUCCAAAUAACAAAAAAUGGAAGUUGAUUCUCAAGCAAAAUCAUAUCUCGUGCUAUGGAAGGUAACAUCCAACCUAGUUUAAAAUUUGGGUCAUCAUCUCCUCUCAAAUGUUUCAACCUAAACUUGCGAAUAACCUCAACAAUAAAGCAACCAUCGAGAAGCAUCAUUUGCACAAACUCAUCUCUGUUUAAACUUAUAGAUCCUCCAUAACACUUUCGAGCUCUUUCUUCCAAUGCCCUCAUGGCCAUGACAUAGUCUGACAAAGGUAUACGAGUACGCUCUAGAAGUUUUUUAAGAUAGCGAGUUUUGUGCUCUUCAACUGCUGUACGGCCAAGGCGGAUGUACGGUACAGCAGUAGUGCAGGAACACGAUGCUCUUUCUAAGGAAUAGUAUAGAGAAGCAUAUUCUUCCCAGAUUCUUCCUCAGGAAUCUCUCUUUCCACCUAUCUUCCAAACCAUCUGCCAUGUGAUCACCAUCGGCCUUAAUUGCAUUGGGCUCCAAGAUUGUAAUGUAUGUGUUAAUUCAUGUUUUGUACCAUGUACAUGGCUAAUAAAUUAAACAAGGCCCUUUCAUCAAGCUUAUAAAGGGAGUAAGCCGAAACUAAUACUUUGAUGAUGCGUCGUUGCAGUUGCUUGUUUGAAUGCCAUUUGCUUGCAAGUGAUUUACUCUUGAUUUUCUGAUCUGCAGAUUGAUUCUAUCGCUCCUCUUUCAUUUUGAUGAAACAUAAUGUUAACUAAUGAUAGAAGAAUUUCAUCUUAUUGAAAUUGUUAGACUUGAAAUUCGAGACAGAUAUAACGCGUCCAAACUAUCCGCGAUGUGAUCACCAAUGCCAUGAGUAAUAUUUACAUAUUAUUUAACCUGCAUCUUCUAUUUAGUAAUGCUCGCAUUUGACAUUGCACACUAACAAAAUUUAACUCAGUACCUUGUUUAGUGUCGAAUAAGUCGUAUUAUAUUUGACAAACCAAAUAAGCAACAACUGUAAAUAAAGUUUAUACAAAUUUAAGAAGAAGAAUGGACAAUCACUACAUUUAACCAUCUUGACUCAUGUCUACAAUACCACAGUAGCUACUGUAUCUGCUUCUAUAUUCAAUGGCUUUGCGCUUGUUGAUAAUAAGAAAGAACUGCAAACAGAGCUUGCUGCAACGUUAGGAGAAGUAGGAAAAGAGCAGCAAGAACGGAGAUGAUUGCCCAUGGAGUGUUGAAAUAAUUGUGCCUCAACUUGGCCAUCCACUUAUUACGACGCCUACUGCAAUGCAAAAUCACUUUGUUGAAAACCUCACGGUAAUAGAACUUCUCACCGAGUACAACGCCAUCACAAAGCUUGUUCAAUAAGGUUGCAAUCACUUCAUCAUCUCCUAACAAAUUCUCAAUUAUUCCACGACGGCGGAGUAAUUCAGCAUCCUUUGAAGAAUUGAUGAGGCAGUUCAGGAAUUCGACAUAAUCGAUUACAUGCUUCAGAUUUAAGUCUUGGGAACACUGCUCGUAUGCAAUGAAAUUCUGUAAAAUUGUUUCUGUAGCAUCACCAAUUUCCAAGGACGGCAUCUUCAUUACCCCAUUUUCGAACUUAAUAUCGAACAAGGAAUCAUCUUUAAGGACCUCAACCUUCCGGAAGCGGAUUCCAGCCUCUCGAAUCUCUAUGGCAGAACCAAUGAAGCUCCAGUAACUAUUAUCUGUGGCAUUAUUCCUAUAUGCUUCAACUCCUGCAGGUGAAGGAAGCCAAUUUGCGUGUAUUAAAUGGACCAAAUGUUUUAUUUCAUUUAUGGGGUAAACAUCAACUUGAUAAACAAUAUCUCUUCGACAACCUUUCCCUGGUAAUAUGCCAUUGAAAAAACGCAGGAUCAUGAGAAGAAAGCUUUCGUUCCUUGAAUCACUAGGCAUGUCAGUCAUGAUAAACAACUUCCAAAUAACAAAAAAUGGAAGUUGAUUCUCAAGCAAAAUCAUAUCUCGUGCUAUGGAAGGUAACAUCCAACCUAGUUUAAAAUUUGGGUCAUCAUCUCCUCUCAAAUGUUUCAACCUAAACUUGCGAAUAACCUCAACAAUAAAGCAACCAUCGAGAAGCAUCAUUUGCACAAACUCAUCUCUGUUUAAACUUAUAGAUCCUCCAUAACACUUUCGAGCUCUUUCUUCCAAUGCCCUCAUGGCCAUGACAUAGUCUGACAAAGGUAUACGAGUACGCUCUAGAAGUUUUUUAAGAUAGCGAGUUUUGUGCUCUUCAA
rnacentral:lncRNA from 1 species